rnacentral:rRNA from 1 species
UACAGAGGUCCCGAGCGUUGUUCGGAUUCACUGGGCGUAAAGGGUGCGUAGGUGGUGGGGUAAGUCGGAUGUGAAAUCUCCAAGCUCAACUUGGAAACUGCAUUGGAAACUACCUUGCUUGAGGAUUUGAGGGGGGAUUGGAAUACUUGGUGUAGCAGUGAAAUGCGUAGAUAUCAAGUGGAACACCAGUGGCGAAGGCGAAUCCCUGGAAAAUACCUGACACUGAGGCACGAAAGCUAGGGGAGCAAACAGG